rnacentral:pre_miRNA from 1 species
UUAACUUAAAUUUGUAUGGAGUUGGAACGUUGGGGCACUGUUCCAACUCGAAUCCAUACAAAUUCAAGUUA